CCUGUCCAUUUAAAAUGACAAAUCUGCCUUUCCACUAUAAAAAAUCUGACUUUUUACUAUAAAAUUUUAACGAUGUAAAAUUUUUUUAUCAUAAAUAAAUAUAUUUUUGUAACAAAAAAAUUUUAUUAUCAAAAAUUAAGAAUUUACAAUAAAAAAAAUUUUCAUCAUAAAAAAUUAAAUCUUUGUGACGAAAUAUUAAUUUUCAUUACUAGA
rnacentral:lncRNA from 1 species